rnacentral:rRNA from 1 species
UCGUANGAUGAACCGCUUUCGGGCGGGGAUUAGUGGCAAACNGGUGAGUAACACGUGGGCAAUCUGCCCUGCACUCUGGGACAAGCCCUGGAAACGGGGUCUAAUACCGGAUAUGACUGUCCAUCGCAUGGUGGAUGGUGUAAAGCUCCGGCGGUGCAGGAUGAGCCCGCGGCCUAUCAGCUUGUUGGUGAGGUAGUGGCUCACCAAGGCGACGACGGGUAGCCGGCCUGAGAGGGCGACCGGCCACACUGGGACUGAGACACGGCCCAGACUCCUACGGGAGGCAGCAGUGGGGAAUAUUGCACAAUGGGCGAAAGCCUGAUGCAGCGACGCCGCGUGAGGGAUGACGGCCUUCGGGUUGUAAACCUCUUUCAGCAGGGAAGAAGCGAAAGUGACGGUACCUGCAGAAGAAGCGCCGGCUAACUACGUGCCAGCAGCCGCGGUAAUACGUAGGGCGCAAGCGUUGUCCGGAAUUAUUGGGCGUAAAGAGCUCGUAGGCGGCUUGUCACGUCGGUUGUGAAAGCCCGGGGCUUAACCCCGGGUCUGCAGUCGAUACGGGCAGGCUAGAGUUCGGUAGGGGAGAUCGGAAUUCCUGGUGUAGCGGUGAAAUGCGCAGAUAUCAGGAGGAACACCGGUGGCGAAGGCGGAUCUCUGGGCCGAUACUGACGCUGAGGAGCGAAAGCGUGGGGGAGCGAACAGGAUUAGAUACCCCUGGUAGUCCACCCCGUAAACGGUGGGCACUAGGUGUGGGCAACAUUCCACGUUGUCCGUGCCGCAACUAACGCAUUAAGUGCCCCGCCUGGGGAGUACGGCCGCAAGGCUAAAACUCAAAGGAAUUGACGGGGGGCCCGCACAAGCGGCGGAGCAUGUGGCUUAAUUCGACGCAACGCGAAGAACCUUACCAAGGCUUGACAUACACCGGAAACGUCUGGAGACAGGCGCCCCCUUGUGGUCGGUGUACAGGUGGUGCAUGGCUGUCGUCAGCUCGUGUCGUGAGAUGUUGGGUUAAGUCCCGCAACGAGCGCAACCCUUGUCCCGUGUUGCCAGCAGGCCCUUGUGGUGCUGGGGACUCACGGGAGACCGCCGGGGUCAACUCGGAGGAAGGUGGGGACGACGUCAAGUCAUCAUGCCCCUUAUGUCUUGGGCUGCACACGUGCUACAAUGGCCGGUACAAUGAGCUGCGAUACCGCGAGGUGGAGCGAAUCUCAAAAAGCCGGUCUCAGUUCGGAUUGGGGUCUGCAACUCGACCCCAUGAAGUCGGAGUCGCUAGUAAUCGCAGAUCAGCAUUGCUGCGGUGAAUACGUUCCCGGGCCUUGUACACACCGCCCGUCACGUCACGAAAUUCNUUAACAUCCCGNACACCGGUGGCCCAACCCNUUGUAGG